UGUGGGUGGUUUUUGGUUGGUUGGUUUUUUUUGUUCUGUUAAACCUUGUGACUUACUGAAGCAGCUUCUAGAAACCUACAGCCAGCACCUGCUGGAGCCACGUCAGGCCAUGCUGGACCAUACAGCCAGCGACCCUUGGUUCUGCCACGGAACACCCCUGAUGGCCACCAACUUGUCUCUACCAAACAGCUGCAAAACCGGAGUGACAUCUUUACAGGAUGAAUGAAUAGACGGUGUAUUUUAGCGCUAGGAAGCUAGCGUUAGGAUCUCUUCUCUGGCUUUCCUCUGUUACUUGAAUUAUUAAGACAUCUGCUCGGCAGCCAGGUUUCACCUGUAUUGCACUGCUGCUUUUUUACAGGCCAGCACUCACUGCUGGGCUUCCCAUCGCUGCUGGAAGCUUUCUGAGAAAGCGCCUGAAUUGCCGUGGCUUAUCAUCAAUGCAGUCAUACAAUUUCCUCCUGGAAAUCUGAGAAGCCUUUUGUGGGUCGCAUACUUUUUGUUUCAGGCAACUGUAACGCAGACAGUGGGGUCAUCUCAGCAUUUCUGUUGCUGCAGAAGCACGUCAUCUCCUGACGGUAGGAUUUCACCGCUGGAGGGGAGAAUACUUCGAUACAGAAGAAAUCCGAACACAGUGAGAAGCUUACCUGGGAAGUGUCUUUCUGUCCUCCGAAGGCAGGCUCCUGACAGGAGCGCUGAGGAAGCGAGCCCACGGCGCGGCUGCUCAUCGCGGGCACUGCCAGGCCCAGACAGAUGCGAGAGGAACGUCCCAACGGGUGAAACGUGCCACAGCCCUGCCGACGGCCACCACCGCUCUCCCCUCCAGCAGCACCAGCCCAAAGAGAAGGGCAGCGAUAGCAGGGAGCCCCACGGCACAACACCCUGCCGAGUCUGGUGGGGCUCAGUACAACGCUGCACUGCCGUGUAGCUGGUUUGCUCCCCUGCUGCCGUACGGAGGCUGGGAGCACUGUACCUGCGGGGAUUCUGGUGACUCUGCCAGGCUGCUGCUUGCUGUUACUCACUCUUUGGAAAAGGUAGCAUGGAACUCUGCUAGAGGCAGCAUCUUUCACUGCUUUCUUCUUCUCAGGAUACUAUAAUCAGUAUUUCAUUUUUUUUUAAUUAUUCAAUCCUUAAUACCUCACGUCAUUCUGAUACUUGUUUCUGUCUAGGAACCAACUUUACAUUAGUAUGAGAUCCUACUGAGGACCAGAUCCAAAGACCAUUAACAUUCAUGAGACUCCUUCAGCUGAGCAGUUGGCUGAAAGUAUUUUACUUCUUGAUGGAAUAGUGAGAUAUUACAUGUAUUUAUGCACUUCGGAGUUGCAGCUAUUUAAGAGCAGAUAGAUUUAAAAAUAAACAUCAUUUACUUCACAGACCAGAUGCAUCUCCCUCUUCAGAAUCUCAUUAAUUUUUACUAAAAAUGCUAACACGUGAAGCCGCUGCCAAAAGCUGUUGGCAAACAAUACAAACACCGCAAUGUUCUGAACAGUUUUAUCAAGUGACUCUUCCGAGCUUUUUGCCAAUCCUGAGUGCAGUAUACAAAGAGACUUAAAAGACUUUUAAAUGGUUUGUAGUUUUUUUCAUUUAUUGUAGAAAAGUUAUUGUAAUGCGGUUCAUUUUUGUACAUCUAAAUUCCAUAAAACAAAUCCAUAGAAAUGAGGAUACUAUCAGCAUGCAGUCUGCAUUUUCUUUUUUAAAUGUUUCUGAUCACAAAAAUACCACCACUUUUUUUUUUUUUUUUUUCCUUUGAAAGCCACUAAAAGCAGAGGGAGAGCAAAGCAUGCAACACUGUACACAUUUGCAUAGUAUAUUUUACCCAGCAUGCCUUGUAGAAUGCUACACAUACAGUAUCUAUAGAAGUAAAAACAGAAAGGGGAAAAUCAGCAGAGAACACGAAUUUGUGGGUAUUUUCUUUUUUUCUUUAGCAAAGGCAGUAAUGUCUUUACCAGUGUGACUCUGAACUGGCUCCCAGUGAGGCUGGAGGUCACGCCAUCAAGCUAUCACUGGGAACCAGUCUGGGUGAGCGUCUGGCGAUUUUCUGGGAUCUGAGAAGCCCAAGGUCCACAAACUGCAGUUUGAAUGACUGUUUUCAUCUUCGUUCUUCACCCCUCUAUUUCUCAUGCAUGCACACAAUUUGCAUUUUGCUCGAUUCUCUUCCUCUGCUGUUCCGGUACAACAUCGCUUGCUUUCUGUCUCUCGGCAUGAGCAAGGAAUCGGGCGUGUUUCAAACGUAAAUACACCUUGGGCCUAUAGCUGCAUCCCUUAGCCUUACUUUCCCUUAUGUUUUACCUGCUCAGCAGCAUCAGUGUAAGUUUUGGGUAGACUCGUCCGCAGCUCUCAGGCUGGAACAUUCUUCUCUGCCCCAGCUCCCGUCCCGUGCACGAGAGCACGUACUUCUGCAGCCCCAAGAAGGAACUCACUGGAGUAUUACAUUCCUGACCUUGGGCUACUAGUGUGUUCGCGGUAUAUUCAUCAGUCAUAUGCCAAAAUCUAUACACUGGCCAAAAUCAGAAUUAAUUAAUGUAAUUUCAGCUUUGAGGAGGAAAUUAGCAGAAAUUAAUGCAGUGGACUUUCUAAUUUUAAAAGGUACUCUUUUUUUUUUUUUUUCAUUGAUUAAUAUGGAAGGAAUGCAAGUUAUUGAAAAAUCAAUCACACAGGCAAAAGGCAAGGCUUCGAAAUAAACCGCUGAAGUAUUAAGAGAGCAAGUUAAACUGAUCAAAACUGCAAUAAAUCCACUGAUGCUGGAUCAAAAAAUCUACCCCUCUUUUUCAAAAAUACAAUGCCAAAUGCAAUAGUGGAAUUACUGUAAAUUUGUGCUAUUACAAAUGUGCUUCUUUUUCCUUGCUCUGUUUUUACACCAUUGGCAAAAUAUAUUAUCCUGUAUGUACAAUAUAUUUUCUCACUAUAUUGAUUUUCUACUGCUUAUACAGAGUAGAAUUAAUAUCAAAGGGGACGGUGGUGUUAAAUUUAAUUACAUUUUGUUUUUCAGGAAAUAUUGAUAAGGCAUAUGAUAACCGGAAUGUGACGUUUAUGGUCGGACCUUGCAAAUACUGGCUCUGGAGAGGACAGUAGGAAACACUGUGUCCAGUAGGAAGGUGUUUGUAGGAUCUAGUCCAGAGAGUAACUCAUUGCCAAGAAAUGGGAGGGGAAAAGGCAGAUCUACUGAACGUCACCAAGCCCAAGCCCCAUGCUCCUCCCAGUUUCACCACUUUCAAAGGAAUAGAGGAAUGACACACUCUUACUAACAUUUUAAAAUGAUUUCUACCUUCUCCUAGAAUUCUCUAUAUUGAUUCACUUACAAUAUUUCUCUUGACUUCUUAAAUGGAUUCCACAAAUAAUAGAAGAGAUCUCAACACAAAUUUCAAUACUAAGUAGCAUUUUCAGCUCUUUGUCCAAGUUAAUUCCUUACAUAUACUUUACACAUUAAAAAAUAAAGGGAUAUUUUAAUAAGACAUACCUUUAUUUUUCUAUAUAAAAUAAACUGGACUCGAAUAACAAUCUAACAAAACUUAUUUGAAUGAGUACUCUUCAAAUAAUAUAUUAUCUUUUGGCAUAAUUUUAAAGACAGUGGGUACUUAAUUUCCCCAGAGUUAAAACUGGCGACAUUACAGUAUCUUGUGGUCUUGUUACUCUUUGUAGAACUACUACUGGAAGGAAUGAGCGGUAACUGCAACAAAAUAACAUGGUAGCCGAAUCCCACCUAUACAAACUUGUAUUAAUACCAACUGGGGUACUAUAACUCAAUUUUAAAAUACACUUUUUUAGGAGUGAAACCACAUUUGUAUAUAUGGAACCUUACAAAGUAUGCAUCUGAUUAUUUAGUUUGUGGUCUCCAAUAAUUUUCUUCAAAAAGAAAAAAAAAAGAUGAGCAUGGAAUCAGGGACAGGCUUCAGAAGCACUGAACUUGUAAAACAAAGUACAGCAGAGGACACAUUUAAUACGUUCUUAAAGAAAAAAUGACUAAUGAAAGCCCUAACUUACUGAAACCACCCUGCUAUAAAGUAGCAGUAUUAGCAAUAUUAUUUUGAGACUGGCAAUGUCAGUAAAGAUAGGAGAUUCUGGCAUGUUCCAGAGUAUGGUAUUGAGACCAAACUGAAUUCGGAAGAUUUGCAGUCAAAGGCAGCUCGAAGUUACAGCCUGGGCACAUCCAGAGGAACGACCACCCCCUUGCCUACUGCCACCUUUCCUCCUUUUUCACUCUUAAGUGUAUUAACAGUCACUUGAAAAGCCAGGAGUACAAAAGGUUAACCCCCCAAUACCAACUCCAGAAGCAGCUUUCACACCUGGGGAAACCCCAGAAACCGUUUCUCUCCUCCUUGCAGCACACCCAGCUCUAACACGGUACCAUCCGCGGCGCGUGGAGCCGCCCCAGCCCCCGGCACGCUUCAUUCACCUGGGUCCCUCCGUCAGGUCAGAACCGCGCGGUGCCAGCAGCAGGCCGAGCGCCCAGCAGCUGAGAAACGGCGUGAUCAGCAAGAGGUAGCAGCACUUGCUUCAGAAAUUGCUCUUGCUUAUCAAGCACAAAAUCACGGUCCCCCCGAUCUCCAUGGCAAGAUGAUUCCUCAGGAUAAUCUGGGUGCUGGGCCACUCCGCACUACCAGUUCUCAAGCAGAACUGAUCUUUGUCAGACCGACCUGUUCAGAAAACGAUCAUCUAAUUUGGCCACUGUUUAUAAACUACAAUUUGAUAUAGAACAGCUUUAGUUGCAUUUCUUUAAACUUAAUUUUGUAAUACAUCCAGUUAGAAAACGUCAGCUGUUGUGAGGUGCACAUCCCAUGGGAUCAGUGUUAAUCUACGGAACUAGUAAAAGAAGCUGCGCAUCUGUUACACGCAGCUUGCCAAAAAGAAAGUAUUUUAACUUAACGGUUUAACAAUUAAUUGUCUUUGAAGUGGCUUCAAGAUUUUUAAAAUGCUUUGUUAAUUCAUCCACAAACAUAUGAAUGCACUGACAUAUAUUGUCUUUAGAUAUUGAGACCGUUGUUAUCACCUUUAUUGGCUAAAUCGUCACUAAUCAAAAGUGGCCUAAUGAAAAAUUGGGUAACAACAACAAAAACCUCCGGAAAAAAAAUCCAUGUAUAAACAUUUCUAAAAUCCUCUGUAUAAGCCAGAGCUUAGGAACAGAACUCUGAUCUUUAAUAAUAUUUUAAUAACCAGAAGAAAUGGUACAAGGACUGGAAAAUUAGUCUUACUCGUAUUCAUUCAGGAAUACAUGAACUUCACAAUUUUAUAUAGCGCCAUUGCAUAAUAAAUCACAAUACAGCUGGCUAGCAUUGCUGAAGUUCUAAUACAAAUACUAUGAGUUAACAUGUCCUGAUCAACAUUGCAGCUUUUACGGAUUACCGUGUUUCCUAAAAAUAAUUUACUUUGUAAAAUAAAGCGUUCCCAUAGCUUGUAUCUAGAAUAAAUUAAUGAUCUAUUAGCAUGUUUAGUAUAUUUGUACUUAAAGAUAUAUCUAUCUUCAAAGAAUAAAAAAAACAGCAAGCAAGGAGACCUGCUGGAUCACUUCUAACUGGUUUCUUAUAUUAAAAUGGAAUAGGCCGUGGGAGAGGAGAGGGUAAACUGAUUACAUACAGUAGUAAAGUAAACGUAAACCCACAUAAUAAAGGACCUUGAUGUGUUCUUUCAAGACAAUACAUGACUUCCCUCACAAGCUUGUUUUUAUUAGAACAAACAAAGUUUUGGCACUUCAGAUGUUGCAGGUGAUGGAAUUUGUGCAUACGCGUUGUGUAGAUCUUUCCCUUUACUAGCGUGACAUGGAAGACUUAAAAACAAGGCUCCAAAAGGCUCUCGAAAUAAAUGACAUUUUUGUCUAGGAAAUGAUAAAGCAGUAACUUUGUUUACUAGAAAAUAUAUGUAGGUGCUUCGCAGCUAUCUGCCAUUAAAAUGCAAAUAUCUUCAAGCAGUUAAAUGAUCUGAUCCCUAACGCUACUACAGAAUAAAGAUAAACAGCUGUCUAAUCUAGGUUUAUACAUCUCAGUGCAUCCUUUGCAAUUAAUACUUUAAUGCACACAAACAAGAAACUUAUUAAAGCUUAUAGAAAAAAAUGUUUUGCCUAAUGCCUUCUUUCUCAUGCAGGUAUGUGUGCUGUACAUGUAACAAAGAUUUGUAAAAAUUACUGGAGAAUGCUCCACUGUGCUAUAGCAGAAAAUAUUAAGAGAAGGCAGCUGAAGCCACCAUUCCCAGACCAGAUCUUGCCGCGCUUUCUCAGCCUAAACGCUCUUUUGGAAUCUGCAGACAUUCAGCCUGAGAAAAUCUGACAGGAUCAGAUCAGUGAAAUUUAAACUGAUCUUCUGGAGAGUUCUUGUGCGAUGCUGGAAUUUUCAGACAUUCAAAGAUGGAUUUUGAAGGAUGUAACAUACAGGUAGGUACUCAGAUGUACUGGAAUGUAGGUGCUCUACACACUGGGUAAGAAGAGUGUAUUGUUUUCCAUUAAAAAUGCAGAAUACUAAAAAUGGGAGAAAAAAUACAACGUAUCUAUACACUCAUGUUCCAUUUUGGGACUACUAGCUGUAUUUAGGUAAACAAGAAAUAAAAAUUUUAAAAAAGACGACAAUUCUCAACCUCUAACCACACAAACUAUCCUUAAGUUUGUUAAUUUCCCUGUUUCUGUUUCCCCUUAUCCUGCCAUAGUUCAUCAUUGCUGACCGCAACAAAAAUGUCAGUACUGGCUAAACGAAAGAAAUCAUUUUGCUGCAACAUUCAUGCCAAGUCUAAAAAUAAUUUCAAACUGGAAAGGAUUCUGUAACUGCUGCAAUAAUUUGUGAUAUUUGGCACUCUCAAUAGUUUACAUUUGGUUUGUCUGAAAAAGCCAUUCUGGAAAUAAGUAGUUAGAAUAAAUCCUUUUAUUCUAACUUGAAAUGUAAAUUGAGCUUCCAGCAAACAAAUACUGUAGCUGACUUUCUGGCUUCUAGUGGAUUGUAAUUUUCAGAUUUUUCAUUUGUUGUUUUUCUUUUUUUUUUUUUUU